CCAAAAUAAAAUAUUAGGCACCAUUUUUUUUUACUCUUAUUAACAUUAAUGGAAAUUAAAGAAGGGAUUAUUUACCCAAAAAGAAAAAGAGGUCAUCUAGCUACCUCUCUAGCUAGCUAGCAUAUACGAGUACUGUUGUCGAUGCCUUCAAUCCUCAAACAAAAUCAGCCGCUGGUCGCAACAAAUCAAACACUAUACGCACCGAUUUUUCAAUUGCUUCUUCAAUUUAGUGUGUUAUUGCAGCUAAUAAUUUUCCCUAAUCUCUGGUUUAUCUUAUCUAUCGCGAAUAAUUUUACCUAAGAUGAUUUUCCAAUCUGAUUGUUAUUGUAUCUAGUAAUGUGCCCUAAUCUCUUUCUUCCGAAGUUGUUCUAAAUCAGUGUUAUUGCUAUCCGAAUCUGUUAUUUUUUUUAUUUGUACAGCUCAUAAUUUAGUUUGAAAUUUGUUAAUUUGGGGUUGGUCAGUUAUUGGAUUGUUUGCUACCUCCAAAUCUGACAUUAUUCCCAAAUAACUAACCCCAAUUCUAGAUUCUUUUGGGUUUCACUUUGAUUCUGAUUCUACUUGCUGUGAUAAUUCUUCUAGUUUAAUUUGGGAAAAAUGUCAAAUUUAUUCAUGAUUUGUAAAACAAUUGCUUGGGAAUUAGAUUUCCUUUAAAGUUCAUAUUGUUACUUUGGUAAUGUUUGUAUUACUCUUGUUAUUUCUUGUCCUUUGACUUCUGUUAUCUAUUGUUUCUUGUGCUUCAAAUGUCAUUAUUUAUUUUAUGUGGUACUGCUCCUUUAUUAUCCACUGUUGUUAUUACUAUUUGUUGAUUUUUAUUGAACCAAGGGUUUAUUUAAACAACCUCUUUACCUCUAAGGUAGGGAUAUAGUCUGCAUACACUUUACCGUUCCCAUACCCUACUUUGUGGGAUAACACUGGGUAUAUUAUUACUGAAUUAGAUUUUCCUUGAACCUCAUUUAGUUAUUUUGGCACUGUUUGUUUUGAUGUUGGGUAGAUAGAGUGUUUGGAUGUCAUACAAGUACUCAGGAUAUUUAUGAAGUAGCGGAUCAACCUGUGGUUAAGGCUGCAAUGGAAGGAAUACAUGGUGUCUGGUGAGAAGAGUUCUAAGGUGAAGGAGUAAGUGAAUGAGGAAGUGAUCGGCAUUUUGCAAGAGGCGGCGGGGAAGAGUGUGGAAAGGGUUGAUUUGUCUGGUAGCUAGUUGAGGAUGUUGCCUAAAGCUUUUGGGAAGAUUCACUCCUUAAUCAUGCUUAAUUUUUCCAACAAUCAGCUUAAGCAUAUUUUACUUGAUAUGCCAAGUCUUGCAUUCUUCACAACUUAAGGCUUGCUAGUAUUAUUCUGGGCUGAGAUAUACUACCAGGUUCUUGCGGUCUCUAGCUUCGUUUUGUGCAGAUAUAUCUCUUCUCGAGGUUAACGUAUAUAUUCAGAAGUUGCAUGUAGAGAUUGUCCAACAUAUUUUGCUUGCUAUGCCAUGUCUUGCAUUCUUCACAACUUAAGCCUUGCUAGUAUUAUUCUGGGCUGAGAUAUACUACCAGGGUCGUGCUGUAUCCACUAAUGGGCUUAGACCUAGUUUCUUCACAAUUAAUGGAGUAGUUUAUGCUAUUCAGUGUGCAUGAAGAUAAUAAGGAUGAACUUUCUCGUCCAAACUCGUCCUAUCUCUAUAUGAUAUGCUCACUGGGCAGGCUUGUACAUUGAUUUAGGAGAGAAGGGAUCGAGUUACAACAGCUUCUAUUCUUAGUGGAUAGUAGGCUACCAUAGAUGAUAGCCUUUCAACAAGGAAUUUAGAGGUAAAAUUGGAAGUUGAGGUUGACUUUAUGAAAGUUCAGUGGAGACAUUGCUCGAUAGAAGAGGCUGCAUGGAGUAGAUGCCCUUACACUUUUACUAAUUCAAGUACUUUCCUUUCUUUAAGUUUGAGGAUGAUGCAUAAUUUAGUAGUGGAUAAUGUAACAAUCCUCAUAUGAUUUCUUAUAAUUUUUUAUAUUUUUAUUAUUUAUUCAAUUACACUAUUUAUUUAUAGCAUUUGUGAGUUUUCAAGAAUGGAUGACACGGUCCUUGAAGUGUUCUAAAAUAUUUUAUGUGUGUUUUUUUCUUUGAGAAGCAUUUAAGUUGUUAUAGAUGGCUUUGAUCAAAAUUUUGUGAUCUGAGCGUCCAAUAAUAAUUUUAUGUAUUUCAUUUGUUUGGGAAUGUCGAUUUAGGGUUGGUAGUAUAGUGGUUGGAGCUUUGAAGUCCUACUAUGAUUUUUAAGUGUUUGAGAAAGAAACUACUGUUAUAGGCCUAAAGUUUUUUUUGGGUGAAACUUGUUGAUAACAACAUCCAUUGGUGAUUCUGACGAUUCCACUAUGUCUAAAAUAUUGAAAUUAUUCUAGAAGCAUUAUUGAUUUAUUUUUAUGGGAUCCCAAAAGAAUUUCAAUAGUUUAUAUGAAGAGAUUUUAAACAUUGGACUAUGGUGCACCAGGUAUUUAUUCAUGAAAAUUGCAUGGUAGGAGUCAAGUUCGCAAAAAGUCCUGAUUUUCAUUGAUCACAAUCACAUGUAGGGUGUUGUGAUCACCAACGGGAAUUUUUGUAUGCAUUGUGAUCUUGUAAGGGAAUGUUCUUGUUGAUUAAAAUUGGAUGGCCUAUCCCCACAAUCAUAAAGAGAAACUUUAGGGGUAGUUAACAUAAACUUGUUUUAUCAUGAGGAUAUUGCCGCAAUCACAAUUGAGGUACUAUUCACUGAAAAGUAUAAAAACAUUUUUCUUGAUCCUAAAUCCUAUUUUCAAUGUUUGGGAGCACGUUUUAAGGUAAUCUAAAGGGAAAUUUUAUGUAUUUUCAAAUGGGUAAGAUUCUAAAUUUAUAUUUGAUUAUUAUUCAUUAAUUAUAUUGGAAAAUCAUCUUCAAAUCAUAGUUUUUAAACAUGAGAUUUGGGAUUUUCUGGGUAAAGUUAAAAAAAAUUAUUUCGAUGAUUUCGAACUUAAUUUCAACACCAAUUUCAAUUAGAUUGUAUAUUUUAAACCCUUGACCUAUGGGUAAUGUGAUUUUAUACUAAAGUUUUUGUUUUAUCCUUUUAUUUUUAGGUUUGGUUUCCAAAGUUUUUUGGGACUCAGAAGUAAAAUAUGUCAAUAUGCAUAUCAGUGAACUAAUACUUAUGUGUAGAAGGUGAUUUUUUAUAGAUUGGGAGAAUUCUAAGGUUACUUGAAAAGGAAAUGCUUUGAUUUGAGUAUUUCUAGCUGUGUGGUUCUUCCUCAAGGGUAUGAUGCCUAUCAAGUACAAAUGGAUUGUACUUACUCCUUUCUUUCAUAUUUUUUUGUUCAUAUCUUUGUAAGAGUGCUACCCCUAGAUAGUGAUCUUGUAGUUCAGAGAAUAUUGAAGUCAUAGUGAGAUCCCCAUCUGUGUCAUGUUACCAACUUUAUCUAUCCCAUGUAUUUCUUUACUUUAUCUCCA